GUGGGGAAUAUUGGACAAUGGGGGGAACCCUGAUCCAGCCAUGCCGCGUGUGUGAAGAAGGCCUUUUGGUUGUAAAGCACUUUAAGCGAGGAGGAGGCUACCGAGAUUAAUACUCUUGGAUAGUGGACGUUACUCGCAGAAUAAGCACCGGCUAACUCUGUGCCAGCAGCCGCGGUAAUACAGAGGGUGCAAGCGUUAAUCGGAUUUACUGGGCGUAAAGCGCGCGUAGGUGGCCAAUUAAGUCAAAUGUGAAAUCCCCGAGCUUAACUUGGGAAUUGCAUUCGAUACUGGUUGGCUAGAGUAUGGGAGAGGAUGGUAGAAUUCCAGGUGUAGCGGUGAAAUGCGUAGAGAUCUGGAGGAAUACCGAUGGCGAAGGCAGCCAUCUGGCCUAAUACUGACACUGAGGUGCGAAAGCAUGGGGAGCAAACAGGAUUAGAUAACCCUGUAGUCC
rnacentral:rRNA from 1 species